UACAGAGGGGGCAAGCGUUGUUCGGAAUUACUGGGCGUAAAGGGCGCGUAGGCGGCCUGCUAAGUCGAACGUGAAAUCCCCGGGCUCAACCCGGGAACUGCGUCCGAUACUGGCAGGCUUGAAUCCGGGAGAGGGAUGCGGAAUUCCAGGUGUAGCGGUGAAAUGCGUAGAUAUCAGGAGGAACACCGGUGGUGUAGACGGCUUUCUGGACCGUAACUGACGCUGAGACACGAAAGCGUGGGUAGCAAACAGG
rnacentral:rRNA from 1 species